rnacentral:rRNA from 1 species
AUUGAACGCUGGCGGCGGGCCUAACACAUGCAAGUCGAACGAGUGGCGGACGGGUGAGUAAUGUCUGGGAACCUGCCUGAUGGAGGGAGAUAACUACUGGAAACGGUAGCUAAUACCGCAUAACAUCCGAUGUGCCCAGAUGGGAUUAGCUAGUUGGGGGGGGAACGGCUCACCAAGGCGACGAGCCCUAGCUGGUCUGAGAGGAUGACCAGCCACACUGGAACUGAGACACGGUCCAGACUCCUACGGGAGGCAGCAGUGGGGAAUAUUGCACAAUGGGCGCAAGCCUGAUGCAGCCAUGCCGCGUGUAUGAAGAAGGCUUUCGGGUUGUAAAGUACUUUUAGCGGGGAGGCGUUACCCGCAGAAGAAGCACCGGCUAACUCCGUGCCAGCAGCCGCGGUAAUAC